AGGUCGGUGGCUCAAUUGGGACAGCAGCGGAUUCCAAAUCCGCCAACUCUAGGUUCAAGUCCUAGUCGGCCUGCCA
rnacentral:tRNA from 1 species